ACGGAGGAUCCGAGCGUUAUCCGGAUUUACUGGGUUUAAAGGGUGCGUAGGCGGGCCCCUCAGUCGGCGGUGAAAGUCUGCGGCUCAACCGUAGGAAUGCCGUUGAUACUGGGGGUCUUGGAUGCGGUCGGGGCGGGCGGAAUGCGUGGUGUAGCGGUGAAAUGCAUAGAUAUCACGCAGAACGCCGAUAGCGAAGGCAGCUCGCCGGGCCGUGAUUGACGCUGAGGCACGAAAGCGUGGGGAUCUAACAG
rnacentral:rRNA from 1 species